UACAGAGGGUGCGAGCGUUGUCCGGAAUCACUGGGCGUAAAGGGCGCGUAGGUGGCCUGGUAAGUAGGGGGUGAAAUCUCGCGGCUCAACUGCGAGGCUGCCUCCUAAACUGUCAGGCUCGAGCAGAGUAGAGGCAGGUGGAAUUCCCGGUGUAGCGGUGGAAUGCGUAGAGAUCCGGAAGAACACCGGUGGCGAAGGCGGUCUGCUGGGCAGUUGCUGACACUGAGGCGCGACAGCGUGGGGAGCGAACAGG
rnacentral:rRNA from 1 species